rnacentral:rRNA from 1 species
GAUGAAACGCUGGCGGCGUGCCUAACACAUGCAAGUCGAACGAAGCAAUCAGAAUGAAGUUUUCGGAUGGAUUUCGGAUUGACUGAGUGGCGGACGGGUGAGUAACGCGUGGAUAACCUGCCUCACACUGGGGAUAACAGUUAGAAAUGGCUGCUAAUACCGCAUAAGCGCACAGUGCCGCAUGGUACGGUGUGAAAAACUCCGGUGGUGUGAGAUGGAUCCGCGUCUGAUUAGCUGGUUGGUGGGGUAACGGCCUACCAAGGCGACGAUCAGUAGCCGGCCUGAGAGGGCGACCGGCCACAUUGGGGACUGAGACACGGCCCAAAACUCCUACGGGAGGCAGCAGUGGGGAAUAUUGCACAAUGGGCGAAAGCCUGAUGCAGCGACGCCGCGUGAGCGAUGAAGUAUUUCGGUAUGUAAAGCUCUAUCAGCAGGGAAGAAAA